GUGGGUGCCGGUGGUCCCAGCGCCGGGGCGAGAUCCGGGCCGGAGCACGAACGCUUCCCUUCCGCGCCCCCGGGGCUGACGCACUCUCAUGGCGCGCGCAUCCUUCAGACCUUCCGAGGCCGGAGGGGGAGGCGGGGAAGGAGAAGGGGCUGACGCUGUUCCCUCUCUGGGAUCAGGCACCGGAUGGGGCGACCCGCCUGUCACCCGCCACCCUCGGAGGGCAGAGGAGGCAGCCCCUAACCGCGCCCUCGACCGCCCCGGCUGCCGGGCGUCUCCCGCUGCAGCACGAAGCUCGCCCGGCGCGCCCCCGCCCCGGCCCCGGAGGGCAGGUAUCCGUGGCUCGCAUGUGCCGCCCGGAGUGACCCCGCCCCGGCUCUCCGCAGGUGUUCCACGUGUCCAUAGCAUUUGCGUCACAAUGAACUGGCCGACAGGAAAGAACCAAACCUUUGUUUCUGGAUUACCCUGCGGUGUACAGAUCACAUGAAGAAAAGUGUUGGAAUACGUGCCUCCUAGCUGACAUGAAAUCCCAACGUGCUAUCGUUCCAUUCCUGGCUAUGUUGGAUAAUCAUAAAUAAGUUCAUCAAGUAGUCACUGGUUGAAACAACUUAUCAGCAUGAAAACAAAGUUAUUGAAUACUGAUGCAAACAAAUCUGAGAUCCAUAGUAACUAAUGGGGUUGCUCACAAUGUGCUGGGUAAAUACUGUAUGCUUUCCAUUUAAUUUUUACAGCAAACCAUUACUAUAGGUAAAAUCAUUAUUCCUAUUUUAGAGAUGAGGACUGCCCAGAGUGCCAUAAAGGGAUUCUUGACCAGGUGUUUGAAUAUGAACCAAAAGACUUAGAUUAAUCUCAAGAUAGCGUAUCUUGUAAGGAUAGGUAGAGAAAAAUUAUAGAAGAUGUUGACAUUUUAUUAGAAAGGGAAGAAGAUGGCACAGCCCCACAAAUUUAAGUAAUUUAUAAAGUUAUUCUUUGGGGAUUCUGUGUGUCACAAAUUUGAGCCUGUUGCAGGAUAACCCAAAAUAUGGCAUUGAGUAAACAUCAGGCCCUUGAUAAAUGUUUAUUAAUAAACAAAUAUUGAAGGAAUAUGGUCUACGAAAUAGGAAAUUAUUGAAAAGCUAAGAUACAGGAAAAAUUUGGGGAGAGAAAAGCAUUGCUCCUAUUUAUAUGACUUUAUAAGAAACAUUCAAACCAACCUAGUAACAAGCCAAAUGAUUUUGCUGUUUGUAAGAGUCUUUAAAUACGAAACAAAGACUUCUUUCAAAAGAGAGAUAAUUAACAUUUUAUUUUAAGAUAUACACUUGAUUCCAAGAACUGCUAACUAAUAUGUAAAGAUAUAUUACCAAGAGUUAAAAAGGAAAAGCAUAAUAUUUUUUAGCAGAAUGGAAUGCAUUGGAAGUAUUCAAUAAAUACAUUGACUGAAUGUAUUAUCAGUUCAUUGAAGCACUAAGAAAGGAAUAGAUACACAGGAAAGUAUUUCCUGACUCUGUAAUGUUCUUCUUUCCACCAGUAGUGAUUUACUAGGUACAUGAAAAUGUGUAAGAAACCCCAUUUAUCAAAGCCUGGCUUCAAGACAGACAUUUACAUUUGUUACAAGAGAGCAACUUGAAUGGCAGGUUGCUUAUAGUAUGUUCAGAGCAUCUCUUCAAAAUGGACAUGAUUGUUACAAAACCAAGGGGGGAAGAAAAGGAAAAACCUGAUAUGUAACUAAUUACUCAGGUUCCCUUUUACCUUUCUAAAGGCUAAGGUAUAUACAACCGGUCACAGAGGCUGAGUGGCUUCAAGGGCUGUGUCUAAAAAUGAACAAAUAGGUGAUAUAAGCAUUAUCUAGUCAACAUGGCACUGAAAUUCCCUAGACUCUGAGAGAAGUAAGAGAAAACUUUAAAUAACUUCUCAUCAGUCUAUUUUUGUCCUAACAGAAUGAUAUUUGAGGAAGGAAAAAUAAAUUCCUGCUCAUUCUGUAUCACUACAAUGAUUGCUUUUCCUUACAAUUUAAAAAUCAUUCUAACUAUAACACUUGUUUCUAGAUACCAAGUUGUUGAUUCCGUUUUGCAGAGCACCCACAAGGUGGUAGGAAGAACCUGAAACAGUUUCCAAGAAAAAUGGCUACUGAAAGACAGGAUCUGUAAUUAGAUGGAAAUUACAUUUUCCAGAGUACAAUGGGAUGACAAACUUCUCCAUAGAAAAAAAUUCUUACAUAUUCAAUACGAUAAAUUUUUCAAAAAUGUCCCAGUGUCAAGAUGUGCUAAUAGGACCACAUGAGUUAAGAUUUGUGUGAAGGUACUGUUAAUAAGAUACAGAAAUAAUAGUGGAUUAAAUGAGAAAGGGGUAAUUUUCUCUCACUUAAGAGAAAUUGGAAGGUAGGCAGUCUGGGACUGGUACGAUCUCUACUAUGUCAUCAGGAUGUUGACCUUUUAUUCUAUUCUAUCUUUAGCAAAAUGAUAUUGUUUAAAGGCAAAUCCAGUAAAAUAUGUAGAGAAAUCAGAACCUUCAUGUGCACUGUUGAUGGAAAUAUAAAAUGGUGUAGCGACUUUGUAAAAUGGUCGGGCAGUUCCUCAAUUAAACAUAAUUACUGUAUGACCCAGAAAUUCCACUUCUAGGUAUUGAGAAAUGAAAACUUACGUCUACACAAAAACUAUUGCACAAAUGUCUAUGGUAACAUUACUCAGAAUAGUCAAAAAGUCAAAACAACCCAACUGUCCAGUAGUGGACAAAUGAAUUAUUUAAAAAGUAGUAUAUUCAUACAGUGCAAUAUUAUUCAGUCAUGCAAAGGAAUGAAAUACUGAUACAUGCUACAACUUAGAUGAAUCUGGAAAACAUUAUGUUGGGCAAAAGAAAGUAGUCACAAAGUCCAUAUAUUACAUUAUUCCAUUCAUAUGAAAAUCCUGGAUAGGGAAAUCCCCUGAGGCAGAAAACAGAUUAGUGGUCAUUUAGAGAGAAAUUAUGGGAGGAUAGGAUGUCAGAGCUAAAGAAGGAUAGGACGUCUGUCUGAGGUGUUGAAAAUGUUCUGAAAUUGGAAAUGGUGAUGCUUAUCUGUGGAUAUACUAAAAAACAUUGAAUUGUGCAUUUUAUAAUUCAUGUGAAUUAUGUCUCAGCAAAGCUAUUCAGAAGAAAAACAAUUGGUGUUCUUAUAUAUUUUGGUUUUUUUUUUUUUUUUUUUUUUUUGGCCGGGGCUGGGUUUGAACCUGCCACCUCUGGCAUAUGGGGCCGGUGCCCUACCCACUUGACCACAGGUGCCACCCUGGUGUUCUUAUAUAUUUUAUUGAUGCACACAUACACCGAGAAAAUUCAAUAUCUUUUCCAGGAAUAGUUGCAGUAUAAGAACAAUAUGAUGAACCCCAAAUAUGUGAAUUAUUCGCAAAUUUGUUGAUGCUGUACAAAUUCUACUAGAACUGAAAAGCUAAAUAUGAGGUAAUUGGACAGAGAAACCUGCUUAUGGAAGACAGAAAUAUCUCAGGUCCAUGCAUGGGAUACCUAUGAUAGAAAUCUCCUCUUACACAAAUAUUUACAAGCAUCCUCUAGUGUUAUAACAUCUCAGCCUUCACAAAACAGCCUUCCUUGUUUUAAUGAAUGAAGAAGCAACCUGUUCACCUAUGAAAACAGUCUUUAUAGUACAGACAAUAGUAAGUUUCAUGGAAUUGGACUUAAUAGCAAAGGAGUGAAAUGGUCCUUUGUCCUGAGAAACUAAUAUUAAUCGAGGAUACCACUGAAGGUAAAACACAACCAACUCUCCCCACCUCAAUGCCCGCCUCAAUCUGUACCAGCCAUAAAAACCAAAAGGAAAGCAAAAGUAAAAAAAAUAAGAAUUCUGGCCCCAAGGCCCCCAAGUUUCUACCUUAAUUCUUAAAAAGAACACAAAUUUCUGAGACAUUUUCAAAUAAUUAUAAUAUAAUAUAUAUAUAAUAAUAUUAAAUUGCAUAUUAAAUUAAUAUAUCAUAUAUUAAAUUCAUAUUAAAUUAUAUAUUAUAAUUUAUAUUGUGUAAACAAUUUACUUACAGAAACAGUUCAUGUAGGAAAAUUAGUUUUUCAGGAGUUGUUUCCUGAUGUCCUAUCGGAUACUUUUAGCUAUGUAAUUCUAAGGCUUUUUAGUGUUUGCCAGAUGACAAAUGAUAAUCUAAAAUGAAUUGGAUUAGCAAUGAACUUGUCUAAUGUGACUGGAAUAGUGUCAUAUUCCUAAUACAUAAGAAUAUAUAUUUAUUUAUUUUAAGUAGAACUUGAGCCGUUGGCCAUCUCUGGCCACAGAACAAUGUAUACUGAAUCAGUAAUCUCUCUUUUUUGAAUGUAUAUGUAUGUAUUGAUAUAAAUGUAUGUAUGGGCACACACAUACUAUUCAUUUAAAUAGAAUACAAUCAAUUUUAUUGUUGAUAUAUAUUUCUGAUAUUGUAAAUGUUCCUUACAGUCUCAGCCAGCAUGAACAGGUGAGGCAGAAUGCCCUUCUUUCUCUUGGCAAAUGGGCACCAAAAGGUAUAUAAUGUUCUACCAUUCAUGCCACACAGAAAUGUAAAAUCCUUUACAGCUCUGAAAUCCUUUUAUUUCCUGACUUAUCUUGGGCAGCAUGAUGUGUACUUAUGGUAUCUGCCCCAUAGCACAGGAUGUUAAGAUAGAGCAUAAGCUAUUGUUAUUAUCAUUGUGUUUACUAAGAGCCAUGCUUAUAAAUCUCUCCAAAGCUCAGUUCAGAAACAAGAAAAAAAUCACUUUCCCAUCAGAGUUGCUGGGAAAUGUGAAAAAAAAAAAAGUUUUAAAAUUAUUAAAAUGAUUAUAUGUUUUUUAUUUGUGUUAGAAAUUUAAAGGAAGAUUGAGUUAAAUUUCAUUGGCAAAAAUAAAAUCAUUUAUUCCUGGAUUGUGUAAUACUUAAAAAUGAAUUGGAUAUACUCAAGAACAUGAACUAAGUACCUUGGCCAAUUUAGGUUUCAUUCCUGUGAUUAUUUAUACUCUCUAUGUAGCAAAAC